UCAUGAGAUCAAUGUGAAAUGUCUUGUUCCCAUCGUGCACUGAUCAUGAGUAUUGUGUAAAGGAUCUACUUGAGUGUGCAAGCAAGGGGAGCCGCCACAUGCUGCUAUAUGAAUUCUUCUAGAACAAACCCAACGAACUGCAAACCUGCGGGGGGGAAAGAGAAAAAAACCCUUCUUUCUUCUGUCAUUGUUGCUUUUCCAGUGGUAUUGCGCAUGCAAACAGGAGCAUUUUGUGUCUUCGGGAAAAAAAAAAAAAAAAGGAAAAAACGCAUAAAAAAAUAAUAAUCAAAAGAAAAACCUUAACGAGAGAUGGCUGUAAAAUUACACCCAUGCACAAAGACCCGCCACCACCCCGACACCGCAGUCUCGAGCCGGUAUUCCCGUAUCAGGCCUGGGGACUGAGACCUUCUUUUUGGGUUUUAUAGUUUGUUUUUUUUUUUUUUCCUCCGUGUGCUCAGUUCUAGUUUAGUUCUGGUCCUUCGGGCGUUAAACUGGCGAACGAGAGGGAGAAAUAACGUGCCAUUUAUUUUUAUUUUUGAUUUUUCACUUGAAGCUCUUCAUGGCUGUACAUUGGACCCUGCUAAUGAUACAUGUGUACGUACGUUUUUUUAGUGCAAUCUCUUCUGUAGAUCUUUGUUGACCAAAUUGGUGGGUAUUGUUACUUAUUAAUUUAUAUUUGUCUCAUUUUGUAUGUAUGUGUAUAGUGUGUUUGUAAGUAUGUGUGGUUUAUAACCCGACCGACUGUGUCAUGGGGCUCAGUGUGCCUGUAAUUUAAUCCCCUCCCCUUAUUUUUAUUUAUUUUUGUACUGUGCUGAUUAAAUAAAAAUGCACUGACCAUCCAUUACACGGCAGCGGCUCGUGGCCGAGUCUUUUCUGCGCUCGCAGCGCUCGGGCGCUGGGAUUUGUGUUGACGACAGAGGCUUUAAAGCCGCCGCUUUAAUCGCGAUACCGGCGGCGGGGCCGGCAGCAGCCGGAGGGGGAAAGUCGGGAUACCGGGAUCAUUGGGAUAUCGGGAUCGUUGGGAUAUCGGGCCACUGAUCCCUCCGGGCAUCAUCGCCCCCGAGCCCCCGCGCCGGCAGGAACGGGCAGCGCCAUGGUGGGAUGCAACUAAUGGUUUCCUUUUAUUUAUUUAUUACAGUGAAUUAUGUAAACAAAACCCAGGUCCAUUAUAGUAGG
rnacentral:lncRNA from 12 species